rnacentral:lncRNA from 1 species
GGUGAUUAUCAAGUUUAUCUAGCGCAUUCGAAAACUGCGGCAUACUUCACGAAACGUGGCACAGACGUCUUGGUGGUACCACAGAGACUGCAGAUAUACAUCGCUGAAAUAAAUAAAAAACUGCAA